GUCCAUAUUUUUAGGGGAAAAAAAAGCAAAUAAAAGUAAGUGUGGUACCUGGCACCUCUAAGACUAGGAAUGUCCGGUAACUGUCACUGAAGAGCACUCUAUGGCUGUGCAAGGAAGGGAAGGGAGCACCCUUUGACUUCAUAGAAGGGAGCACCUUGUGACUGCAUAGGACGGAGCACCCUAUGACUGUUUACAGAAGGGAGCACCCUGCAACAGCACAGAGUGGAGCACUACACUACGACAUGAGAAGGUGAUCGAGGACUCCUCCUUCACCCUCGGAAGGGUUCUGUUCUCUUCCUGUAGCAGGAUGACCCCUGUGUCUGAGUUCUUCUAGUCCUCCCCCUCUCCCGGUCCAAAACAGAUGCUGGUGACAGCUGGGGAAUGCACAGCAAUAAAGAGUUAUUGGACAAUGGUCAGAGCCAGCCAAAGUUUGACUAGGCUGCCUUUUGGUGGCAAGUUGCCUGUCACCAGAGGCAACCAAACAAGAGCCCAACACCUCUCAGCAGGGAGAACAGCAGGAUUCCACCCUAGUUUCCCCAGCACUUAGGAGCAAAGACAUACCUAUUAGACUUCUCCCUUCUUCUGGACCCUUCAAUUUAAAUGUGUCUGGCCCAUAGAUUAAGCCCUGGAUAUGGAAUAACCAUUUUUUAAUAAGGACAUGUGAUUCAGCACAAACUACUUCUCAUGAGGAUUUUUGCUCGGAUAAAUCAGUCUUCCCUUCCCUCAGUGUUCAUGGGUUCUACUCUAACCAAGCCAUGGUUCAAGAGCCUUGAAUUUAGUACAGAUUUUGAGGAAAUGUCACAUCUCUGGUGGCACUUUGAAGGAUAACUUCUGGAGCUCAAGAUUCUCAGCUCCCCCAACUUCUAGAGCCUAAAUCAUUGGCCUCAGAGGCUUCCAGAAGAUUUGAAUUUUAGACAACCCAGAGGUCCUAAGAUCAAACGCAAAUGAGGUCUUAAGACCUGAAAGAGGUGUCAGAGGAUAGCUAACAACUUUAGGAUUUCCCAUAAGUCCCCUGGAAGUGACAGCUCUCAAUCAGGGAGCUCAGGAAAGAAAAGACAGAAAAGGGAACAAGUUCAGAGGCUCCUGGGCCUUAGGAUCUCCCCGUUAUCCUCAGGGUGCCCCCACCAUGGCCCUGGGUGGGAGGAUAGUCCUGGCACCUCAGGCCCUGUGCAUUGCUUUGUCCCGUCAGUACCCCCUCCAUGCUCAUGAUGGCCUGCACUUCUGCCUCCUCAGCUGCUUCAUGGCGUUGGCCGACCUUGUACCUAGAUCACUGCCCAGUCCCUUUUUCUUCCCUUCUGUUGUGAACACGGGAUGGGACUUGAGGAGGUCAGAGCUCGGGCAAAGAGGGAGGGACAGAACCUGCUCAAAGCUGCAGGGAGUAAAUCAAGCUGCUCUCUUCCUUGGGCUGUCUGACUGGCCUUGCAACCCUUUCCAAUCAGGGAGUCUAAAGUUACCAUAUUGACAGCAUCUGCAGCCAAGCCCAGCUCUAAAGGAGAUGAAUAGCAGUGACUCAGGAGCCCAGUGGAGGGAGGAAGAAUACCCUGGAAAAGUACAUGAGACAGAUGACCUGUUUCUCAGAGAGCACCAGCUAGAAGGGACCUAUGCAUUCUAAGGAGGAAGCAGGUUAGAGGACCAGGCUGCUACCCCUCCCUCCAUGACUCACUACAGAUGGCUUCAGGGCUCUGUGGAGGACUACAGUAAUUGCGGACAUCAUUGUCUGAUGGUGAAUAGACAGGAUGUGGAAGGUAUCAGCAUGUGACAAGAUGGAAGAUGUCUCUAGAGAUGGACUGGAUGUGGCGCGGGUUUCUGAGGAAGGAAGCUAGCCUAAGGAGAGACCUAGAUCAGCACUAACAUGAGGACCAGCCUCAGCAUCUAAAACUCCUACUGGAACCUGGACCCAGAUAUGAGGAGACAUGAGGGCCAUUCAUUCACCCAUCUAGUCCAUGAGUGCUGUUCUUGGUAGACGGUAGCAAGAGACAGGAGCUGAUGGUGUGGCCCUUACAAAGGGAGAACAUUCAGCACUCACCCACAUCUGGGAAUGGUGCCUCCUGUCCAGAUAUAUAGCCAAGACACCAAGGGCAAGGACAUUCUGGUUCCGUUCUGAGACAAUGACUGGCACACAGUAGGGCCCUGAAACAGGCCAGCUGACUGUCAGGGGCAUGAGGCAAAAGGGAAGCGACUGCUGCUUGCUACUACCACAUCCAGUGGCCAAGCUGUUUGGAUGGAAAGAGGAAUCAUGAAGCCUCCACCAACAAGUGGGCAGCCAGAGGCACACACGUCUUGCUCAAGAAAAACAACUUUGUCAUCAUGUCUUGCCCUUGAAAAUACCCCUGUACAGCCAGAGAACCAAGAGCCAGGCACAUGCCCAUGGGAUCUGAUGGUCUAUGGUCUGUUCUUAUCAUCCUGAGCAGAAAGUCAUCAGGUGAGAGCCAGUCUUAAGACUUGGCUUACCCAUUCAAAUGAUCUGUGCAGAACCAAUUCUGUUUUCAUCCUAACAACAAGGUAUUUAUUUCUUUUCAAGGAUCUUAAGUGAAGCCUAGCUUCUCAGUUGUUCCCACAACCCGUUACUGGAAUUCCCUAAUUUCUAUUCCCCGAGACAAGAAUAAUUGAAUACAGGGCUUUGUUGGUCUUUGGCAAACACACUUAGAAUCACUGCUGCCUUUGGCAGGAUAAGGGCAAGGUAGACAGGUAACCAACCGUAAGAAAUUCCAAUAAAAGUUCUGAUUAAAGGUAA